UUUUCUAAUAGUUCUAUAGUUUGUAUAUUUAAAUGGAGUAGUGAGAAAAAAUUUUAAAUCAUUUUUAGGUCUGAAACUAAAGGUGCCAUGGAAUUGUCUCCCAUAUAAUUGAUCUACUAUCUCUUAAUCCCAAGACUUGUCAUUCAGAGGUCACCAUCCUCUUAGAAGGAAGAAUCAGUAAUAGAAAACAGAAGUAAUAGACUCACUCCUGCAUAGUAAGUCUCUCUGUAUUAGCUGAUCAGAAGUAAGGGGCAGCUCCAUUGGCCUGUUACCUUGGAUCAUCAUGAGUAAAAACAUUCGGAUGGUAGAAAGUAGAGGGAAAUGAUUGGCAAUUAAAGGCCUAGAAGUAAUUUUCUUUGGAAUUUUUUUUUCUCCUCAUCUUUCAAGUUGAUGUGGACAUUUCUCUUUGAAUGGCGCAGCCAAUAGGUGAGUUGAUUCUUGGUGAUAAUCAUAGAUAAGGUUAAUCUCAGGAUUAGGUUAAAAAAAAAAAGAGGGGGAAUAAGCACUUUCUCCCUAAAUAUUUCCUACUGAAAUAAUCACUGUUGCAAUCACAGAAUGUCUCCUAUAACUCUUUGAAAUGAUUGAAGUGAGCCCUCACAUUCUUUCUGGCAAGGUGAAUUCCUGGGUACCUUUCACAAAGUAGAACUUCCAACCGCAUUGGCAUUUCCAAGAAUAUAUCUGGAAAAAAACAAAUGAAUCUUAACUCUCUAAGAGCUCUUUGUCUGUUUUUAACCAGUGGUGAGAAAUAUAAGUGGGGACAGUGAAGAACAACCUGUACCAUACAUAUUGGACAGUCUUCAGUUUUGAGAGCUGGAAAGCCUUUUAGAGAUCAUCUAACUCAGGUCUGAGAAAGAUGAGGAAACUUGCCCUAUUCUCUAUCUAUCAUAAAGACUGGCAGCUCCUUCUCACCACUUUUCCAUUUCUUAGGCCAAAGUUCUGUUCCUCAUUCGUAUUUUCUCACAAUGCCUUCUGGCAUUUGUGCCACUACUAAGACUAUAUGCUUCAGUGCAAGUGGAAGGAAAUGUAACAUGAGCUCUACCUAAGUUAUAUGGACAAAAAUACUUAAAUAGGAUGCACGUAGGGAUAUUUGUCCCCUUUAAGAGAAAAUUAAACACAAGAAUUCAGUUUCUUUCGGUUUUAAAUCUUAAGUUUGUUCUCUAAAAUCCUCUUUCUCUAGAUUUCCAUGACUAUUUAAAAGAUGACAAAUUUGGAUGGAGCAGGAAAAAGUUCCCAUGGAAUAGAUUAGAGAGUGUUAAUAUGCUAAAGUAGAAAGAAAAUAUUGUAGAAGAAUUAGCAAUACAUGACUAAGGUUCUGUAAAGUCUGCUCUUCAUACCAGCACCAGCUCACCAGUACCUUCCACUGACCAUGUAUUUCCUUGUAACUCCAUUGGGUGUGAUAUUCAGAGUGUCCAAGAUCAUCUAUCAUCUUGUUGGACUUCUUCACAGCCCCUCUGCUUCCUGGCUGAGUUAUUUAUGUAACAUUAUUCCGCAAGGGAAAGCCCAGCUGUUAAAGUUUUAGAAACAGGAAUAAGAACACAUUUUUAUUGGAUCUUUCAUCUUGUCUACAAUGUGUUUUUCUUGGUUUAAAUAAUGAUAACACCAUACUAGCUCCUCCACUAUAACUCACUCUCCUCUACGUGUCUUUGGAGGGGAGAAUGCCCUUGUUGUACUUCUGGGGUUCCAGAAUGAGGCUUAUACAAAACUGAAUCUGAAAUCAAUAUGUGGGAUUGUAUAGUCACCUGGGGAGUUUGAACUCAUAGACCUGGGAUAGGUACUGCAGAGGUGAAAAUGAUAGAAAUAAAUUAUUAAUAAAUUGGUGGGAGCAAGGGAAGGAUGUGAGAGAUAAAAGAGGAGUUUUAGGGGAUUAGAAAGUUUUGAUCAUAGAAGGAAAAUAGUACCAUUUACAAAAAUAAGGCAGCCCAGAGAGAGAAGACAAUUUAGAAGGGAUAAAAAACUGCUUUUGACUUACUGGGAGAUGAGCCAGGUAGAAGGAUCUUAAGAGGAUGUGACACCCUUGUAAUGUGUCAGCUUGGUUAGCUUGUCCCAUCUUUCCUAGAAUUCCAUUUCCUGUAAAGUUUGGUUAGAGUGGGCCACAAGAGGGUCUCGUGUAAAAUUUGGAGGGCAGAGGUGAAGCAGCCACUAUUGUGUUAGCUCAUACAUAUUGUCAGAGAUAUGCUGAUGUUGUUAGCAUGAAGCAAUGGCUAGGCCUAGAAUUAUUCUACUUUUUCCUUCAAUUUAACUCCUGAGCCACUCCUGGGCUCCAAAGCGAAGGGCACUGGCUUCUUUCUGCAGGAUGUCCAUAACACCAAGAUCAGAGCAACAAUGACAGGGGUUUCAGGCCAUCCUGAAGCUUCUAGCCUUCCCUUCUCAAUUACCUGCCCUGAGGACUUUAGUUCCAAUAUUGGAUGCAAGGGCAGCUUUAUAGACACCUGCUCCAGUUUUGCAAAAGUCCACCAGUCUUCUCUAUGGAUCAAAGCACUGCAUAAUUUGACCCAUUUUUCUAUCCAACUUACACCAUUCUUUGUUUUAGUUUAUAUUAGUUUCCUACCAAUUUCUCCAUCACUUCAAGUCCCAAGUUCUUUCCCAUCUCUGGGUACUUGGGUAUGCUAUUCCUUCUGCCUCUUGUUCUUUUUGUCUGCAGAUUUUAGCCUGUCAACUUCAUGGACUGGCUUUCUUCAAUCACUCCAUCUAAAUCAUGCUUUUUUUUUUUUUUUUUUUUUUUUUUAAGGACUGUACUAGAGGUUGUGCAUGCUUAUCUAAUUUGGUUAGCUGAUUUACUAGAAUCUAGGUUCUGUGACAGCAGGAGCUGCAUUUGUCUUGUUCCACAUUUUGUACCCUGACACUGGCACUGUGCCUGGUAUGCAGCCAGUUCUCAAAGGGUUCUUCUAGAAAUGGAAAAGGAGAAAUGGAGGAAACUACCUUGUGGGGCAGCUGUGUCAGGCAAAUUAACCUUUUAUUCUUUGGGAGCAUAAAGAUUACUCUGAAUUCUACAUUUCUUUCUUCAUGGAAAGUCAAAUUAAUUUACUAGGGAUUCAGGAACCAUCUCAAUAGUUUUCUGUGUCCAAUUUCUGCUAAAAGAUUCAAUUAUACCUCAUUCAAAAGGAUGUUUGUGAUGGUAAUACUUAAAAAUAAACCUCAGCUAGUUUUGGAGUUGCUAGUAGUAUGAACAGUUUUGCAUUAUGGGUUUAGACCUAUGUUACUAUGUUAUUUUGGCUUUGAUUUACCUAAGAGCUCAGAACAGUUACCCAUUAAUAGAGAUGUGAAUAAGGUUUAGAUUAUACACUCAUAAAACUAAACUUUCUGAAAACUCAUCCAAGUUUAUUACCCUAUAUUUUGUGUUCUACAGAUCUUUUAAUUUCAUACUGUAAACUUCUUAAAAACAUAUUUUAUAAGUCAUUGUACUCUCAUCAUUUUCCAAGGUUUAACGGAGGUUCCUCCAUUUGUGAAUAACAUUAGCUAAAAAACAAGCAAGGAAUAAACAGUAUUUUUAUUAAAUAAAAUCUAAAGGAAAAUCUAAUCUUUUAUCUAACAUUUAGAUAAAAGGCUCUAAUGAAAUGUUAUUGAGUGUUCUUACUAUGUUCCAAGCUUUCAGUCCCAAGGUCAAAUCUCUGGGUGUUAUUCUGAGCCUGCAGAUCACUUUUCUUUAAAGCUUCACUACUGCAAAUAUUCCUUCUUUCAUGCUGGCUUACUUGAAAUCUUUAAUGCCUUAAAUGUGUCCUUAUUUCAAGUAGUUUACUAUCUUUGCACAUUAUUUUUUUCCAGCAUUUAGCCUGCACAUAGUAUUUGAUCAAAAAAGGUGAAGUGGUUUGUAAAUUAGACAUUUUGGAAAUUUGGGUACAAACCCUCCC
rnacentral:lncRNA from 1 species